UUAAAAUCUGAUAAUAUCACAACUUAGAGAGUAAUAAGUCUACAUUACCUAUUAAAAGUGAUUCCGAAAAGUACUGGAACGUAAUCUGGAAUGUUCGAAAUACGAAGAUUGUAUCCAGAAUGUCCGAAAUACGAAGAUCGUAUCCAGAAUGUCAGUUCUAUAUAUACGGUUUUGACUACCGUACUCCUAAAUUGAAUAUAAAACCUGAGGCAGAGGGGAAAUAAAAGUUAGAGAGAGAAAGGAAGGAAGGGCAGCUGUUCUGAUCAGAAGAGCAAUCCAAAUCCAAUGGGCGAAUCGACGACACUCCUUCACUUCCCCACUGUUUUUUUUUGCAACUUGAGUUGGUGUGACUCAUAAAUUUCAACUUUGGAUCUUCAGUUUUUUUUUUACUCUGUGUGAAUGGAAUCUAAAAGAUGAGAGAGAGAGAGAGAGAGAGAAAUUUUGGAAGCCACCCUUUCUUCUUUAAGAGAAACAUCAUGGCGAUUUCUGAUUGGUGGAAUUGGGUUUUCUCUAUCAGAAAGUAGCCAAUGCCUUGUCCAAUUUGAUGCUUAUCUAAACAAUCAGUGGACUCCUUAGCAUUUAGCAGGCCUCUCUCUCUCUCUCUCUCUCUCUCUCUCUCUCUCUCUCUCUCUCUCUCUCUCAGAAUCUGUUUUAUUAUUGAUUAUGAUAUGAUGAGUUAUAUGUUGUAUUGUUUGAAUCAUUUUAGAUUCUGGUUAUAUGGGUUUCGUAUCUCGAUUUCUGUCCAGUUUAUCAUGCUCACAUGUGUAUAUGAUCUUAUAACAUUAAGUUGUUUUUCUUUUACUCUCUAUGCAUUAUUCAGCUGCCAUUCUAGAAAAUAAUUCAUUCUAGUACAAAAAAAUAUGUGUUUCAUUUGGAAUAUAGUCCCAUACCUCUUAGAUUCCUCAAUUUUUUAAAAUAAAUUUUAAAUAUGUGUAUGUAUCAUAUGAUUGCAGCCUCCAUUUCAGUGCACACCAACUGUUUAUGUUUAUGAUUUUAAAUUUCACUGGAUCUAAUACGUUAAUUCUACUACAAGUAAAGCACAUCAAGAAAAUCAUUUUUGUUGAUCUUCAAAAUAUAAACCAAAAUUAUAUCGUGUAUGUUAGUCUCAACUCGUAAACCUUAAUCAACAAUCUAUGCUACAGUUUAAUUAUAUGGUUCAUCAUAACUUUUGAUGUGAAAACUCAGUAGAAUAUGAUGGCUGUUUUUACCAUUGUUAACAGACAGAAGACUGCUAAAGUUGUAGGAAGCCAUGCAUCUUCCAUACUCGGAUUUAACAGUUUUUGAAUAAUUAUUGUGAGAAAUAACAUCAAUGAAUAGUAAACCUGAAGGAAAUGAGUAAAAUAGUAUGGUGAAAUUCUGAUUCUAUCAGGCUAGUGGUGUUAUCUUUCCUCAGAAAAAGGUCCAGGUGCUCUGUUUUUGCACUACACAUUAAUGUUAUUGGUCAAUUUUCAAUAAUUGAUUUUAUCCAUUUCCUA